rnacentral:tRNA from 1 species
GGAGGGCUUAGCUCAGUGGUAGAGCAUCUGCUUGGUCUUUAGAAAGUCCCAGGUUCAAAUCCUGGCAUCUCCA